AACGCUGGCGGCGUGCCUAAUACAUGCAAGUAGAACGCUGAAGGAGGAGCUUGCUUCUCCGGAUGAGUUGCGAACGGGUGAGUAACGCGUAUGUAACCUGCCUGGUAGCGGGGGAUAACUAUUGGAAACGAUAGCUAAUACCGCAUAAGAGUAGAUGUUGCAUGACAUUUGCUUAAAAGGUGCAAUUGCAUCACUACCAGAUGGACCUGCGUUGUAUUAGCUAGUUGGUGAGGUAACGGCUCACCAAGGCAACGAUACAUAGCCGACCUGAGAGGGUGAUCGGCCACACUGGGACUGAGACACGGCCCAGACUCCUACGGGAGGCAGCAGUAGGGAAUCUUCGGCAAUGGACGGAAGUCUGACCGAGCAACGCCGCGUGAGUGAAGAAGGUUUUCGGAUCGUAAAGCUCUGUUGUAAGAGAAGAACGAGUGUGAGAGUGGAAAGUUCACACUGUGACGGUAUCUUACCAGAAAGGGACGGCUAACUACGUGCCAGCAGCCGCGGUAAUACGUAGGUCCCGAGCGUUGUCCGGAUUUAUUGGGCGUAAAGCGAGCGCAGGCGGUUAGAUAAGUCUGAAGUUAAAGGCUGUGGCUUAACCAUAGUACGCUUUGGAAACUGUUUAACUUGAGUGCAAGAGGGGAGAGUGGAAUUCCAUGUGUAGCGGUGAAAUGCGUAGAUAUAUGGAGGAACACCGGUGGCGAAAGCGGCUCUCUGGCUUGUAACUGACGCUGAGGCUCGAAAGCGUGGGGAGCAAACAGGAUUAGAUAUCCUGGUAGUCCACGCCGUAAACGAUGAGUGCUAGGUGUUAGACCCUUUCCG
rnacentral:rRNA from 1 species